GACGAACGCUGGCGGCGUGCCUAAUACAUGCAAGUCGAGCGGACGAAUCGAAAGCUUGCUUUUGAUUCGUUAGCGGCGGACGGGUGAGUAACACGUGGGCAACCUGCCCUGUAGACGGGGAUAACACCGAGAAAUCGGUGCUAAUACCGGAUAACACGAAAUGUCGCAUGACGUUUCGUUGAAAGACGGCGCAAGCUGUCGCUACAGGAUGGGCCCGCGGCGCAUUAGCUAGUUGGUGAGGGAACGGCUCACCAAGGCGACGAUGCGUAGCCGACCUGAGAGGGUGAUCGGCCACACUGGGACUGAGACACGGCCCAGACUCCUACGGGAGGCAGCAGUAGGGAAUCUUCCGCAAUGGACGAAAGUCUGACGGAGCAACGCCGCGUGAGCGAAGAAGGCCUUCGGGUCGUAAAGCUCUGUUGUUAGGGAAGAACAAGUAACGCAGUAACUGGCGUUACCGUGACGGUACCUAACGAGAAAGCCACGGCUAACUACGUG
rnacentral:rRNA from 1 species